CUACGGGUCGCAGCAGUGGGGAAUAUUGCACAAUGGGCGCAAGCCUGAUGCAGCCAUGCCGCGUGUAUGAAGAAGGCCUUCGGGUUGUAAAGUACUUUCAGCGGGGAGGAAGGGAGUAAAGUUAAUACCUUUGCUCAUUGACGUUACCCGCAGAAGAAGCACCGGCUAACUCCGUGCCAGCAGCCGCGGUAAUACGGAGGGUGCAAGCGUUAAUCGGAAUUACUGGGCGUGAAGCGCACGCAGGCGGUUUGUUAAGUCAGAUGUGAAAUCCCCGGGCUCAACCUGGGAACUGCAUCUGAUACUGGCAAGCUUGAGUCUCGUAGAGGGGGGUAGAAUUCCAGGUGUAGCGGUGAAAUGCGUAGAGAUCUGGAGGAAUACCGGUGGCGAAGGCGGCCCCCUGGACGAAGACUGACGCUCAGGUGCGAAAGCGUGGGGAGCAAACAGGAUUAGAUACCCCUGUAGUC
rnacentral:rRNA from 1 species